rnacentral:rRNA from 1 species
GACGAACGCUGGCGGCGCGCUUAACACAUGCAAGUCGAACGGAAAGGCCUGCUUUCCCUUGUGGAUUGCGGGUACUCGAGUGGCGAACGGAUGAGUAACACGUGAGUGAUCUGCCCCCAACUUGGGUAUAAGCCUGGGAAACUGGGUCUAAUUCCCGAUAGGACUGCAGGGUGGUGUCUGUGGUGGCAAACGAUCUUCUAGUGGUUGGGGAUGAGCUCGCGGCCUAUCAGCUUGUUGGUGGGGUAAUGGCCUACCAAGGCGGCGACGGGUAGCCGGCCUGAGAGGGUGGACGGCCACAUUGGGACUGGGACACGGCCCAGACGCCUACGGGAGGCAGCAGUGGGGAAUAUUGCACAAUGGGCGGAAGCCUGAUGCAGCGACGCCGCGUGGGGGAUGACGGGCUUCGGGUUGUAAACUCCUUUCGACCGCGAGGAAGCCACCUGGUUGGAAGGGUGGUGACGGUAGUGGUAGAAGAAGCACCGGCUAACUACGUG